UACAAUAGCAAAAACGAUAGUAAAGCAAGUAUUGUUAGAUUCACGGCAAAACCAACAAACGAUCGCAAUGAGAUUUCUUUAUUAAACACAAUUUUAAAGCAAAAGAAGACAUCGAGACGUAUGCAAUAACUUGCAUAACUGAUAGUUAAAGAAACGCAAGAAAACUCUUCUAUCUGAAGCAUAAAACUGAAUUCGUUAACACUUUUACCGUUGUCUAU